ensembl:snRNA U6 U6 spliceosomal RNA
GUGUUUCUGCAAGCACAUAUAUUAAAAUUGGAACAAUACAGAGACGAUUAGAGUGGCCCCUGCAUGAGGAUGACAUGCAAAUUCAUGAAAUGUUCCAUAUUUUU